AAUUUACAUGAACUGAAGUGGAAAAAUGUUCACAGGAACCCCUGAGAACAGAAACUGACUAGGUUCCCAUGACACUACUUAAUGAGCCUCCAUUUUUCUUUGUUAUAUUAUGGAGCAGGGGCAGCUGCUAUUCCAUAGCUGAGGAUGCACCCCGGCCCCGUUCCCCCGCCCCUUUACCUGAUUCAUUGACAAGAAUAUUGCAAGGCAUCCACUCUGGAGCGGGGCACUUGUUUGGUGUUCUCACAAAUUUCUAAACUUCAUUCCAUCGUAGCGAGUCUCAUGGAAGAUAUAGAACAGGAUUCGAUGCAGGCCAAUUUCAUCAGGAGUUCUGAAGUAUCCAAAAAGGAUUGCCCUUUUGUAUGAACUUUUCUCCCAGAAUGCCUUUUUGGGGUGGCCCUUUAAAUUUGACGGAGACAAACAGUUACAGACCUCAAAUGGCUACUUAGUAGCUGCUUUCUUUUUGCUGCAUCUUCUACUCUUUCCAGCUGGAUCAAGCUGCCUUUUACUAAUUAAUGAGGUAGAACUAUAAUCAGCAUCAGGUAUGUAGAAGCUG